UCUCCCACAGCCACCGCCGCCCACCGUCCACUGCCCCAUCUCCCUCACAUCUCACCGCCGGCCAUGGCCUUCUCCACCACACUUGAUCUGGCGGUCUCCACGGCCGGCGAGGUCCUCCUCCACCGCCCCCCAUCCGGCGGCCCCCACGGCCGGCGAGGUCCUCCUCCACGUCCCCCAUCUGGCGGCCCCCACGGCUGGCAAUAUCCUUCUCCACCGCCGCUGACGAUGAGAAUCCGUAACCCCGGCCUCCACCGAUCACGUCUUCCGUCGCCGCACGGCGGAUCCGGCGAGAUCCCGCCCGUGGUGCGUAGACUGGCGCCCUCGACGGAACUCAGAGGCAGUAACCGAUGCACUUCUUUUCCCUCUUCUUCUGUUUUUCAGUCUACUAUAUGAUUAAUGAUUGAUUUAUACUGUACAUAGCACACUCUUAACUAAUUAACUUGGAGAUGCAUUCAUGUCAUUUAGAUUUAGAGAAGGAAGUGAAUGGAAAUCUUUCAACCCUUCCAUGUUAUUUCUCUAAAGUUGCCAGCAAUCAUAUCUCAGAUCAGCAUGAACUUGUUGUCCAGUCAAAAUUCUGAUGUAUGGAAACAUAUAGCUGGCAAAUGAACACUGAAUUUGAGGCUCUCAAAACAGAUUUUCACCAUACUAUACUAUACUAUAGGUGAUCCACUGUGUUCGUGGAUGUUCUGGCAGUAAUUUUCUUUAGCUCUCGGUCUAUAUAUAGCUUAGUUUCCUUUCAAUCUUUGUUGCAGAUUAGAGUAGCAAAUAAAAGAUAUGUGAACAGCACUUUUUCCAAAGAUCAUUCGCACAGACUGAAAAAUGCGAGGUUAGAUUUUGUAGCAUAGCCAACUUACGAUUUUACUAACUGGACACAAACUUAAAAGAUUAUUUUGCAUGCAUGUAAUUUUGAACUGUUGUUUUGCCUAUAAUAACACAAUCAGAAGAAAGAGUACCAAUAUGAAAUUCUUUCUGAUGUAAAAGUUACUAUAGAAGUAGACAAUAUGGUCUUGUUCGGCACCAGUAUCCCAUCUUUGCAUUGCAGAGUCAUCGCUGCACUUGCCGACAGUGUUUACUGUUGUUAAAAGAAAGUCAUAUACCUAGCUACAGCAUGGGAUAAAUAGUGUGGCCAUACAUACAUCUUAGUUAACAAAUAUGACUACCUGCGAUCUCUGAAUAAUGUGCCUUCAGAAUUACUGGACUCACCGAGCCUGCCAUGGAUAAAAGGGAAAAUGAAGGAAAGAAAAGAAGGUAAUAUCGUGCAUGUCUUGCUCAUCCUGCACGGCUGCAUGUACUGAAGUAGAAGUAGCAGCAGUACAAUAUUUUGUUUAGGAAUCACCGAAUCAAAAUAUUGUACAUCUGUACAAAAUUACGCUGAGCCAGAAAUAUAAUUUAAGCUGGGUUUUCACUACUGACAGAUGCAUGUUAAAUAUAGAGUUAGCAUCAUAGUAAAUUUCUGCUGCUAUACUACAUGUUGUCAUUUUAAUACACAUGGACAAUGCAUGCUUUGUGCAGUCUGAACUUCUAUCUACUGAUUUGCUUGUAUCUUUGAAAUUUGUAAGAAGACAUGUUUGGCAUCGCCAUCAACAUGUUCCACGGUGCCCUCGCCAUCAGGGCUGACUGCAGAUUGCGACGGAGUGCCGCCCAGCUGCUGCUCCGCCAUCGCCGUCGACAGCAUGGGCUUGGCCGGAGUAAGGUUCAUUCAGCACAAUCGUCACGGCAGAAAUUCUAAAGCUGCUGCAGUAAGUUGUUGCGGUGGCGGCGACGGUGGCGACGACGACACCAACAUCGCACGGGGAUGUGGCGGUGACAAACGACGGCGACAUCAACACGGGGCUGUGGCUGCGAUGACGACUUGCGGCGACAAUUGACACGGGGCUGUAGUGGUAACGACGACGACGACAUCCACACGAGGCUACAACAAGGACAACCUCUACAUGCGAUGACAGUGACGAUGGCAACGGUGACACGACGGUGUUGUAGACUCGUGGAUCUUGGCAAUGUAUACAUACUAAAUGUAUGUAUUUGAAUAUAUGAAUGAAUGCAUAAAUAUUUGACUGCGUGCA